ensembl:lncRNA
ACUCAGGUUAAAGAAACCCCAGCAGCUGUCUAUAGUAUUGAGUGUCCACUAGAAUAGAAAUAAAAGCGUUCUAACAUCUCACCUGCUUGUUUUUAUUAAGUUCCUCGUCGCGUCGUCUGUGUUCAUCACUCAGUGUCACCCUGCCUACUCUGCAUUGCUCUGUGUUCCUCCUCUGUGUCACCCUGCGUGCUCUCCCUGCUGUCCUCCCUCCAUGCUCAGUGGCCAGUGCGAAGUUGUGCUGCAGAUCCCAGUAUGAAAGCUGAGGGUCCAGUCAGCCGGCAGAAAGGCCAGUUGAUGCCUCGACGUGCGUUGGAACCGGUUUUGCCCGCACAGAGCGUUUCUGACAUGCUGACGUUGCUUAUGCAUAAGAGAAAAGCAACAGUACAGAGUGCUUCUCUGCCCCAGGACAUCCUUUCACACGGAGAAAGGUGAUGGCAGGAGCUUUUUUAAAUGCAUUUCGAAUCAACUUUUUUUUGUUUGUUUUACAAGAAGUGUAUUUCAUACAUUGGAACAAAUGUAAUCUUUUCUAUACUUUAUAACUAUGAAACUCUAAAGAUUUUAAGUUCAUGCACAUUGUGAAACAAGAAUCUAAAUCUUUCUGUCACAAUGAUUUCUAUAAACGCAUGAUGUUUAUGGGGAUAAUGUGAAAAAUCUUUUGUGGGCUCUAAUAAUGAUCAGUGGUGAUUGAAGAGGAAGCUUGAACCCCGGCUCUGGAGAUUUUCAUGACAAGUGACAGUGCAGACAUUUGUUAAUGAGAGAAUAUGUUUUAUCAUCAUAACGACUGGGAAUUUAAGCGAGAAAGAAGUGUUUACUCAUGUUUUUUAAUAGAAGACUUAAAACACUAAACUCUAAUUUCUGGGGUUUAUUUUAAGUUUACAGAAUAUAACAUCUUGUAUGACAAUGAGUUUUACUUCUCACUGUCUGUGUUAUGUGUAUCCAUUUAUCAUGUAUGCUACUUUGCUCUGUGGACUAAAAUGUUUCAUUGUAUUCAUGAAAUAAACCAGAAUUUCAAUGUCC